rnacentral:rRNA from 1 species
AUACGUAGGGUGCGAGCGUUGUCCGGAAUUACUGGGCGUAAAGAGCUCGUAGGUGGUUUGUCGCGUCGUCUGUGAAAUUCCGGGGCUUAACUCCGGGCGUGCAGGCGAUACGGGCAUAACUUGAGUACUGUAGGGGAGACUGGAAUUCCUGGUGUAGCGGUGAAAUGCGCAGAUAUCAGGAGGAACACCGGUGGCGAAGGCGGUUCUGUGGGCAGUAACUGACGAUGAGGAGCGAAAGCAUGGGUAGCGAACAGGAUUAGAUACCCUGGUAGUCCAUGCCGUAAACGGUGGGCGCUAGGUGUAGGGGUCUUCCACGACUUCUGUGCCGUAGCUAACGCAUUAAGCGCCCCGCCUGGGGAGUACGGCCGCAAGGCUAAAACUCAAAUGAAUUGACGGGG